UGACAGACUAUUGUUUGGUCUAUAAAAGACUUAGUUCCUCCACUGUCCCUCGAACAAAAUCGAUCAUAAGGAAAAUUUUUAGAUAUUAAUCACAAGGCGUAAAAUUGCAUUACGUAUCACUAUAGUCUAUAAACAACUCAAAUAUUAACAUUAAAUUUAUGUUCCUCUUCAAAGAAUAUUCAUUGAAAAACUAUUUGUUUGAAAUAAGACGUUAAUUAUUCAGAUUCACCUGCUUUUGUUGGUAGGGUUUAUUGUUUUACUAUUUAGAUAUAUAAUAUAUUCAUGGAAGUGGAUAUUCGUCCGACAUUUCCAUACGUUAAAGGUAUAUUCAUUGACUCGUGUACAUUGCAGUUCCUCACUCCUGUCUUCGUUAAAAACAUACUAGAACUUAAUAACAUUUUGUCAAAUGAAGUUAAAAGCUUCCAUUUU